rnacentral:lncRNA from 1 species
CAGUUGUGACCUAUGCUGCAGCUGUGGCAGUGCCAGAUCCUUUAGUCCGCUGUGCCAGGCCGGGGAUCGAACCUGCAUCCUGGUGCCAGAGAGAAGCUGCCAAUCCCGUUGCACCAUAGCAGGAACGCCAGCCCAUGUACACUUUCGACCUUACAGAAAGGUAUAUGAUAUCUUCUAGAAUAAAGGAGUUGAAAUUGAAAUCUUCCCCUUUUUUUUUUUUUUUUUUUUUUUUUCUGUUUAGGGCCGUACCUGUGGCAUAUAGAGGUUCCCAGGCUAGGGGUGUAACUGGAGCUACAGCUGCUGGCCUACGCCACAGUCACGGCGACAAGGGAUCCGAGCCACGUUUGCAACCUACACCACAGCUCAUGGCAACACCGGAUCCCCAACCCACCGAGCAAGGCCAGGGAUCGAACCUGUGUCUUUAUGGAUACUAGUGAGAUUUGUUUUUGCUGAGCCACAAUGGGGACUCCCUUAUUCUGUUCUAAAUUGACCAAACCAACUUAGCUUUUGGCUGCUGCCUAUUGAAAGAUGAGCUGAAAUAUGUUCAGAAAGGCCCAGACUACUUGCUACUCAGUAAAGUGCAGUCCAUGGACCAGCAGCAUUGGCAUCACGUGCUAAGAUGGCAGAAAUGCAACAUCUCGGCCUCCACCCCAGGUUACUGACUCAGAAUCUGCACUUUAACCAGGACCGCACGAGGUUCAUACACACUUUCGAGUUCAGAAGCCCUAGGCGCUGAUCUGCAAUCAAAUUAUCGGAAGGAAGACGGGAGAUAUUGAAGGAUGAUAACCUGAGCCUCAAGUGCAAGAGGUAGAGCUCUCUGAACUCCUGGGAAGCCUGGAAAGAAGAAGACAGACGCCCCUCUGAUGAUUCCAGGAGGCAAACUUCCAGCAGAGAGAAACUAGAGAAAGACAGACUUUAUUUAGGAAGGACCUUUAGAGCAGCCAAAGCUGCCCAGAGAGGAAAAGAGUUUGUCUCAAAAGGUUUCGUGGCAGCAGGUGUCCCAGCAGUGGUGUGCCAACUGCCAGGAUUGUGAUCACAAUCAUGCAAGGAUUUGAUUUACAGCAGUCAAGGAUACAUUAGAGCCCAGAGGCAUCUGGAGAGGCCUGGCUAGUUGUGGAGAAUAGGGACGUCAGGCGUUCAGUCUCCCCGGACUGAGACAUGAUGCAUCAUUAGCAAAUAAACCCAGCAGAGCUCACGAGACUUUCCCACAGCACAUCUGGGGCAUUUUGCAUCCUCGCAAGUCACAGCAAGUGCAAGUUCCUCGUUCAGUAUCAGUUUCCCUCAGUAUUUCUGGGGGUAGCAAUGUAUUCAGGAUGAAAAAUUUUCUAACUAUCUUUUCCUGUGUCCCUUGCAGGUAAGAGCAGCUAAUGAGAUACAAGCAAAAAUCACCAUUUGGGGCUUCUAAGGACAGUUCUUAGGAGAGUUCUAACUCAGGUGACAAGUGCCUUUUUACUCUUCUACCUGUCUUUUUCUUUCUCAAACACAGAUGUGAUGGCUGGUGCUCUAGCAAUCAUUUCAUGAUCAUGAGGCAAUCCUGAAAAUGGAAGUAGAAAGAUAGGACUGUGGGUGUCUGAUGACAUCAUGGGGCCAGCACAACAAAUACUACACUAUCUAGUCAAAACUUUUCUUUUGAACAAAAGAGAAAUAGUCACCUCUAAUUUGCUCAUGCUAUUGUUUUAGAGGUCUUCAUACCAGUGGCUGAAUGCAAUCUUGCCCCGAUACAUCUUGAGUGGACUGUUACCUGCUUGCAAUAUAUUCUUACCCAAGUCCAAACAUUCCCUGGAGAGUGGCAAGUUCAACUGCUCGUCUGAACAUCAUGAGCACGACUUAUUAUCUAGAUCAAGGGAGAUAAACUAUGAGCCAGUGGGUCAAAUCGCUGUGUCUGUUUACCUAUUAUUUAUAGCUGUUCUCACAAUGCAAUGGCAGAGCUGAGUGGUCACAGCAAAGACCAUGUGGCCUGCAAAGCUGAAAAAUAUUUAUUUCCUGUUCCUUUACAAAGAAAAAACAAAAAAACAAAAAACAAAAACCUUUUCUGAUCACUGAUCUAGAGAUUCAGAAAGUCCUCAUUAUUGCUAUUUUGCUAGCAAUAUAUCCAAAUCUAGUGUGAAUGGGGCAAUGCUUUCCAAAUGUUCCCAGCCCUCAGGGCCACGUUGACCUCUGGGACUCAGGGGUUCAUACAUAACAUCGCAAAGCUUUUCUGGUGAUGCUGAUGAGUGGGUGUUACAGUCUGAAUGUCUGCAUCUCCAACCCCAACGAUGUGUUAUGUUGAAAUCCUAACCCCCGAGGCGGUGGCCCUGGGAGGUGAGUAGGUCAUGAGGGUGGUGCUGGAGAGUCUCCGGGCAUAUAAGCCAUGCAGCUAUGGCUGGCAUCACGUACACAUCAUGAAUGAGACCAGCACCCUUAUAAAAGAUGCCCAGGGAGAUCCUUCGCCCCUUCUACCAUGUGAAGAUGGGGAGAAGACAGCGGUUGUGAACCAGGAAAUGGGUUCUCACCAGACAUCUGCUGGUGCCCUGAUCUUGGACUUGCCAGCCUCCAGGGCUGCGGAGAACAGAUGUUCCUUGUUUAAGGCACCGAGUCUACAGCCCUUUGUUACAGCAAGUGGACUAAGACAAAGGGCAAUCUGGGGAGCCCCGAUGUAAAGCACAGAUUAUGCCUCCUCUCUAUGGGUUUCCUCGUCUAUACAACGGAGGUGGAUAAAAGCACAACGGAGGUGGAUAAAAGCACGUGCUCACGAGGUGGGCUGGAGAGUCUUUGGGUAUAUCAGCCACACAGCCAGCUAUGGCUGGCAUCACGUACACCACCACGCGGAGGAGGUGGAGAGAGACGUGGGGAAGGGGGGAGAGGCCGGAAUAGUGACAUCGGCCUGACUGGAUGGAAAGUCCCGUCCAGAUGGGACAAGCGCAACUGGAGCAUAAAACUGCUUCAUCUGAAUCACGAGAACCCUUUAGGGGCAUGAAAAAUAUAAAGGCUGUUGCAUCACCUUUUACAGGCCCUCAAGCCUUCCAGGGACACAUAGCAACUGUGUCGCAAGGCAAAAGAGCGGGAAAGAGAUCGAUGCAUUUUUAAAAAUUCCAUGACUAAGAACAACCCAGAAAGUAAAGCCUCCAGUGAUAAGUAGAUGUUAUAACCUGCAAUCAGUGAAUGUCAAUAUGCGACUUAAAAACCUCUCCCACAACGAUAAAAACUGGCAGCUCUAAUGUGAGUUAUACAUUCUGAUUCUACAUUUUUCAUAACACAUUGAAGAGUCAAAUGCUUCACUCUGUGAAAGCCUCGAGUCCCUCCUGCUUCUCUGACGGCCCUUCUUGGCCUUCCACGGGGGGACCUCCUCUGCGGCCCGUUCAUUAAAGGUGGAGACUUUCCCUGGGCCCCUUCUUCCCCUCAUGAGGGUCCACUCUCGAGGGGGCACAGUUGAUGUUUCGGUCAAUGACUUCCAAAUCUUCAUCUCUAGUCUGGAUCUCUGAUGGGAACUCCAGACUGAGGACCUGAUAAAAUCUGUGUCUACAUCCACACGCAGGGUCUACACUGCAAAGCCUCUCCUCCUCCUGCACCUCGCUCUCGCCAUGGAUGGACCGCUCAGCUGCCUGAGCCAGAAAUCUGGGCAUCAGCGCUGACCAGGGAUGUUCUUUGCUCUCACAUCCAAGUACUGGGGGUGGGGGGGGGUCUGCCGAGCCCACCUCCAGAGUCAGCCCCGCCCCUGGCUGGACCGCUAGGGCAGGCUCUCGGUGGCUCUUCUGGCCCCUCCCACUUUCCCCCCAUUCCUUUCAUUUUCACCUCCCCUGUUCAAACUCCUUCAACAACUGUCCGUGGAGGAGGCUCAUGCCAGAGACUGGGUUCUGGGGCCGGUGGAGUGGGCAGCUGCUCUGGGCCUGGGAAGCUCCUGCAUCAGCGCAAUCAUCUUACUUUAGGCUCCAUCUCCUGCUUUGGCAAACCAGGGCGGUGCCAACUUGCCUGCAGUUUCUUUAAAUUUCUUUAAUCCUUCAAAAUUCUUAAAAUUAAAAAAGCCUUAAAUUUCUUAAGCUCACAAAUUUCCUUACAACGAGGAUGGUGCCAAUGUGCUUGCAUUCUUUAAAACAGUCUUAAAACUGUUCAGAUCAAAUACCCUGUUCUAGAAAUAGCUUCAUCCCCUGGCCUUCCAACUGUCUCCUAGCAGCACCCCCUGCUAAGGGGGACAGCAGGCAUUCAAGAACUCAGAGCUUCGAAAGGCCAGGGUCCAUGAGUCCAACCCUUCCUUUUAUAAGUCAAAGGACUGCUGAGACUACUGUCCCCUCCUCAUCCCACAUCCUCCUUGAUGUCUGGCUCCAGGGGACCAGGGCUUGGGGAAGGCCACCUAGAUUGAAGAUAUGAAUAAACACGCCAGGGCAAUGUCACGGGCGUGAUGACCAGGGCAGGGAGGGGAGCAAGCUCCUUGUGUGGGAGGGGAGGGGAUGUGACAUCGAGACUGAGUGAUCAGCAAGGAGAUACAAAGCAUGGAAGCUAAGAGCACAUGCUCUGCGGCCAAACUCCCCCAAUUCAAAUCUCGGUUCUGCUGCGCACUGCUGGGCGCCCUGAGAAAGUUACUACACUUCUCUGUGCCUCCGCUCCCUCCUUUGAGAAAUGAGGAUGAUAAUAUUACCUCUCACUGGGUCUUGGGGGGAUUAAAUGAGUUCCCACAUGCCAUGGGCUUAGAAUGGGGCCCAGUCCAUAGAAGAUACCAUGUGAGUGUUCAAUUAAACGAACAAUUAAAAAUGUAACUGAAUGAGCUCCCACGUGGCUCAGUGGGUUAAGAACCUGAUGUAAGUCUCCAUGAGGAUGUGGGUUCGAUCUCUGACCUUGCUCAGUGGGUUAAGGAUUUGGUGUUGACACAAGCUGUGACCCAUGCUGCAGAUGUGGCUCGGAUCUGGUGUUGCCGUGGCUGUGGUGUAGGCCGCAGCUGCAGCUCUGGGAACUUCCGGAGCUGGGAACUCCCACAUGCUACAGGUGCAGCUGUAAAAAGAAAAAAAAAGUGUAAUCUACUGGUUAGGCUGCCACUGGGAACUGACAAUGGUGUGGACUUCCUGAGUCUCUGAUCUUGAUCAGCUUUAACAUUAACCCCCUCCAGUGGUUUGACUGAUGGGGACUGGGCUCUGCUGAGACAUCAAGACGGUCACAGCGGGCUCACAAACUGCAGGGGAUCCCAGAAGCUCAGCGCCUCCACCACCUACCAUGUUCUGUGAUGUUAGACAAAUUGCUUCUUUCAGAGUUCAGUUUACUCAUCUGAGAAAUGGGUAUAACCCCACUCCUCACAAAAAAACCAUGCCUGAAAGCAUUUAUAAAAAUGUCGUAAGUGUUGGAGUUCCCUGCUGGAGCAGUGGGUUAAGGAUCCGGCGUUGUCCCUGCAGCAGCUCAGGUCACUACCUGUGGCACAGGUUCAAUCUCUGGCCUGGGAACUUCUACACGCUGUGAGCAUGGCCAAAAAAACCUGUCUUAAGUGUCGCUGCUAUUACUACUAUUGGUGUUGUUAUCCCCAUCAUCAUCACGAAAUUCUGCAAAGGUGAAGAAGCACUGUCACUGAAGCCACAUUUAUUACAGCUCUAUGGGCUCCACCGUAAGAUCUUGGCUUAGGAAAGAACAGGUAUGCAGAUCACGGCUGAGCCUUAGACCCAGAGCUCAGCACAGAUUGUACUGCAGGUCAUUCACGUUUUUAAACAAAAACACACUGAGUUCCCACUGUGGCUCAGUGGAAAUGAAUCUGACUAGGAACUGGGAGGUUGCAGGUUCGAACCCUGGCCUCCCUCAUGGGUGAAGGAUCCGGCGUUGCCAUGGGCUGUGGUAUAAGUCAAAGACAUGGCUCAGAUCUGAGGCUGUGGCUGUGGUGUAGGCCAGCAGCUGUAGCUCUGGACCCUAGCCUAGGAACCUCCAUGUGCCAUGGAUGCGGCUCUAAAAAAAAGACAGAAAGCCAAAAAAAUAAAUAAAAUAAAAACACAACUUACUAUGCCCUUCCCUUAAAAAGCUCCACUGACACGAAUCCCCAAACAUGUUAUUUCUCAGGGGUACAUGAAAGCAGCUCUUCCCGAGAACGGAUGCUGUGGCCUCUCCAGCCACCGCAUGUGCAUCCUGGGACCAGCCCAGCUUCUUCCAGGCCUCGCGUCCGCAUGCAUAAAAUGCAGGGGGGGUGAACUGGAUGCUCUCUAGGUUCCUGUGCAGCCUCCCCGGCUCUGGUCUCCUGUGUCCUCAGGCGAUUCACAAACUGCAAGGACUUCUGGGCCUCUUCCACCCCCACUUUACUGUGGAGCCCAAGGUGUUCACAGAAUCAGGAGGUCUGA